rnacentral:rRNA from 1 species
UACGGAAGGCAGCAGUGGGGAAUAUUGCACAAUGGGCGCAAGCCUGAUGCAGCCAUGCCGCGUGUAUGAAGAAGGCCUUCGGGUUGUAAAGUACUUUCAGCGGGGAGGAAGGCGAUGUGGUUAAUAACCGCGUCGAUUGACGUUACCCGCAGAAGAAGCACCGGCUAACUCCGUGCCAGCAGCCGCGGUAAUACGGAGGGUGCAAGCGUUAAUCGGAAUUACUGGGCGUAAAGCGCACGCAGGCGGUCUGUUAAGUCAGAUGUGAAAUCCCCGGGCUUAACCUGGGAACUGCAUUUUGAAACUGGCAGGCUUGAGUCUCGUAGAGGGGGUAGAAUUCCAGGUGUAGCGGUGAAAUGCGUAGAGAUCUGGAGGAAUACCGGUGGCGAAGGCGGCCCCUGGGACGAAGACUGACGCUCAGGGUGCGAAAGCGUGGGGAGCAAACAGGGAUUAGGAUACC